GGCUGCUGAAGUCUUCUGUCCUGCUUGGGAAAGGGUUUCUUGGGUCUUCUUAUAAGCUUCUGAUUGAGUUAAUUUUUCAUUCCAGUCCUCCAGAGUGCUGCUGGCUGAAAGAUAUGCGUUGGAGACUUGUACAUCAUGCCAGCUUUUAGACAGGUUUUGCUUCAACCCAUCCAAGGGAGUCAAACCUAGUUUCCUCUUCAGCUCUCCGCAGUGCCUCUCUUUAGCAGCCAGAACUUGUCUGAGAGUACCAAUUUCUUCUUCAACCUUGGCGAUCUCAGCCCUCAGCUCCUCCUCCUCAGCAGCACUCAGCCCCUCGGGCGUUGCUGUCCUCGCUGCGGCCGCGCUGUCCACGGGAACGUCCAUCAUGGCAUCCGAGAGCAGACCUUUGUUGGGAGAGUUAAGGCUGAUAUCCUGACUCGCGCUCUCCAUGGCGGCGCUCCGGACCCGUUCAGCCGCCGCC
rnacentral:lncRNA from 1 species